AGCGGCGGACGGGUGAGUAACGCGUGGGUAACCUGCCUCAUACAGGGGGAUAACAGUUGGAAACGGCUGCUAAUACCGCAUAAGCGCACAGUACCGCAUGGUACGGUGUGAAAAACUCCGGUGGUAUGAGAUGGACCCGCGUCUGAUUAGCUAGUUGGUAAGGUAACGGCUUACCAAGGCGACGAUCAGUAGCCGACCUGAGAGGGUGACCGGCCACAUUGGGACUGAGACACGGCCCAA
rnacentral:rRNA from 1 species